GGUAGCACAGAGAGCUUGCUCUCGGGUGACGAGCGGCGGACGGGUGAGUAAUGUCUGGGAAACUGCCUGAUGGAGGGGGAUAACUACUGGAAACGGUAGCUAAUACCGCAUAACGUCGCAAGACCAAAGUGGGGGACCUUCGGGCCUCAUGCCAUCAGAUGUGCCCAGAUGGGAUUAGCUAGUAGGUGGGGUAACGGCUCACCUAGGCGACGAUCCCUAGCUGGUCUGAGAGGAUGACCAGCCACACUGGAACUGAGACACGGUCCAGACUCCUACGGGAGGCAGCAGUGGGGAAUAUUGCACAAUGGGCGCAAGCCUGAUGCAGCCAUGCCGCGUGUGUGAAGAAGGCCUUCGGGUUGUAAAGCACUUUCAGCGGGGAGGAAGGCGGUGAGGUUAAUAACCUCAUCGAUUGACGUUACCCGCAGAAGAAGCACCGGCUAACUCCGUGCCAGCAGCCGCGGUAAUACGGAGGGUGCAAGCGUUAAUCGGAAUUACUGGGCGUAAAGCGCACGCAGGCGGUCUGUCAAGUCGGAUGUGAAAUCCCCGGGCUCAACCUGGGAACUGCAUUCGAAACUGGCAGGCUAGAGUCUUGUAGAGGGGGGUAGAAUUCCAGGUGUAGCGGUGAAAUGCGUAGAGAUCUGGAGGAAUACCGGUGGCGAAGGCGGCCCCCUGGACAAAGACUGACGCUCAGGUGCGAAAGCGUGGGGAGCAAACAGGAUUAGAUACCCUGGUAGUCCACGCUGUAAACGAUGUCGAUUUGGAGGUUGUGCCCUUGAGGCGUGGCUUCCGGAGCUAACGCGUUAAAUCGACCGCCUGGGGAGUACGGCCGCAAGGUUAAAACUCAAAUGAAUUGACGGGGGCCCGCACAAGCGGUGGAGCAUGUGGUUUAAUUCGAUGCAACGCGAAGAACCUUACCUGGUCUUGACAUCCACAGAACUUUCCAGAGAUGGAUUGGUGCCUUCGGGAACUGUGAGACAGGUGCUGCAUGGCUGUCGUCAGCUCGUGUUGUGAAAUGUUGGGUUAAGUCCCGCAACGAGCGCAACCCUUAUCCUUUGUUGCCAGCGGUCCGGCCGGGAACUCAAAGGAGACUGCCAGUGAUAAACUGGAGGAAGGUGGGGAUGACGUCAAGUCAUCAUGGCCCUUACGACCAGGGCUACACACGUGCUACAAUGGCAUAUACAAAGAGAAGCGACCUCGCGAGAGCAAGCGGACCUCAUAAAGUAUGUCGUAGUCCGGAUUGGAGUCUGCAACUCGACUCCAUGAAGUCGGAAUCGCUAGUAAUCGUAGAUCAGAAUGCUACGGUGAAUACGUUCCCGGGCCUUGUACACACCGCCCGUCACACCAUGGGAGUGGGUUGCAAAAGAAGUAGGUAGCUUAACCUUCGGGAGGGCGCUUACCACUUUGUGAUUCAUGACUGGGGUGAAGU
rnacentral:rRNA from 1 species